rnacentral:lncRNA from 1 species
CAAAACACGUCAGCAGCCAGGCCUGAAGGACGCAUGGUGCAUGCAGGGUGCAGCACGAAGGGAAGGAGUGCAUGAGGCGCCAGGAGGCCCAGGCAGAACGGCAGCUCAAUCAAUUCAGCAACCUGUGCAUGUUUGGAACAAGCUUCUGCAGGUGCAAUGCACUGAUGGGAAAGAUGCCACUGCAAACCUGACUGCCCAGAUAUCACACCUGUGUUAAGGCAUGCAUUGCUCUCACAUACAGACCCUGGAAACCAUGCCCCUGUCUGGUAGGUUUCUGACUGUAUAGGCCAAAAUAAC